rnacentral:rRNA from 1 species
UACUCCCGAGAGACCGAUAGUGAACCAGUACCGUGAGGGAAAGGUGAAAAGCACUUCGAACAGAAGAGUGAAAUAGUCCCUGAACCCAUACGCCUACAAGCUGUCGGAGCCGCUUCGUGCGGUGACGGCGUGCCUUUUGCAUAAUGAGCCUACGAGUUACUCAUCACCAGCGAGGUUAAGUACUUCAGGUACGUAAGCCGAAGCGAAAGCGAGUCUGAAUAGGGCGUCAAGUUGGUGGUGGUAGACGCGAAACCUUAGUGAUCUACCCAUGGGCAGGGUGAAGGUUUGGUAACACAAACUGGAGGCCCGAACCGGUAAACGUUGAAAAGUUUUCGGAUGACCUGUGGGUAGGGGUGAAAGGCCAAUCAAACUGGGAAAUAGCUCGUACUCUCCGAAAUGCAUUUAGGUGCAGCCUCUGUUGUUUUGUUCUAGAGGUAGAGCUACUGAUUGGAUGCGAGGGCUUCACCGCCUAUCAAAUCCGGCCAAACUCCGAAUGCUAGAACAUGAAGACAGGGAGUGAGCCAGCGGGUGCUAAGGUCCGUUGACGAAAGAGGGAGAACUCAGACCAUCAGCUAAGGUCCCCAAUUGUAUGCUAAGUUGGAAUUAAAACGGGGUGGGACUGCUUAGACAGCUAGGAUGUUGGCUUGGAAGCAGCCAUUCAUUUAAAGAGUGCGUAACAGCUCACUAGUCGAGCGGUCCUGCAUGGAUAAUACGCGGGCAUAAGCAUAUAACCGAAGCUAUGGGAUUGUAGAUGAUACAAUCGGUAGGAGAGCAUUCCAUUCAGCAUAGAAGCAGUACCGUGAGGUAUUGUGGAGCGGAUGGAAAAGCAAAUGUAGGCAUAAGUAACGAUAAUGCGGGUGAGAACCCCGCACGCCGAAAGAUCAAGGAUUCCCCGGCAAUGUCAAUCAUCCGGGGGUAAGUCGGAUCCUAAGGGUAAGCCGAGUGGCGAUCCCGAUGGCAAACAGGUUAAUAUUCCUGUACUGAUCAUAACUGCGAUGCAGCGACGCAGAGGUGACACUGCUGCGUACUGACGGAAUAGUACGUUGAAACCCGUAUUCUUUGAUACCGGUAGUGAAGCACGCCGGUAGAGAUGAAAGGUGAUAGUACCGCAAUGCUUCGGUUGCGCGGAUAAUGCAGGUAAGCUGACUGCCAAGAAAACCUGCUAAGCUUCAGGUAAUGAUCAUCCGUACUGUAAACGGACACACGUGAUCAGGUAGAAAAUACUAAGGCGCUCGAGAGAUUCAUGGUUAAGGAACUAGGCAAAAUGGUCCUGUAACUUCGGGAUAAAGGACGCUCUUGUGAAAGAGCCGCAGAUAAUAGGCCCAGGCGACUGUUUACCAAAAACACAUGGCUAUGCUAAUUCGCAAGAAGAUGUAUAUGGCCUGACACCUGCCCGGUGCCGGAAGGUUAAGAGGAGAGCUCAGAGGUAACUCGAAGGUUUGAAUUGAAGCCCCGGUAAACGGCGGCCGUAACUAUAACGGUCCUAAGGUAGCGAAAUUCCUUGUCGGGUAAGUUC